rnacentral:tRNA from 1 species
UUUAACUUGGUUUAAAAUAAAAUAAGAGCUUGUCAAGCUUUAGAUACAACGGAAAGUUGUAGUUAAAU